ensembl:lncRNA
UUUACUCCUGGUGGGUCUGUCUUGCAUAUUAGAGUGUUAUUACCUUAUUAAUACCAAUUUAACCUUAUCCAACAAAAAGUGUAAAAAUGCAACAAAGGUAAGAGUCCCUUUAAUGGGUUGAUGGUUUGUUUUCUGGAAAAACAAAUUGUUUCAAACGUUAAUAAACAUACGGUUGCAUUACUAUUUGUCAAAAUUAAUAUUGGUCCAAAGUGACUGACAGUGAAUUCAGAUACAGGUCUUUAAGGAACAGGUAGGUGUUGGACAGUACAGUGGCAGGUAAUUAAGGAGCAGGUAGGGGAUAGACAGUACAGAGACAGGCCAUUAAGGAGCAGGUAGGGGGUAGACAGUACAGAGUCUUGUCAUUAAGGAGCAGGUAGGGAUUAGACAGUAAAGAUACAGGUCUUUAAGGAGCCAGUAGAGGUGAGACCGUAUAGAGACAGGUCAUUAAGGAGCAGGUAAGGGUUAGACAGUACAGAAACGGGCCAUUAAUGAGCAGGCAAGGGUUGGACAGUACAGACACAGAUGAUUAAGGAGCAGAUAGGAGUUAGACAGUACAGAGACCAGCCAUUAUGGAGCAGGUAAGGGUUAGGCAGUGAAGAGACAGGUCAAAAGGAGCAGGUAGGGGUUAGAUAGUACAGAGCAGGGGCAUUGCUAGACCUAGAGCUUUACUGGGGCACGGGCAACCAACUGCCAAUACUCUUUUUCUUAUUUAUGUUUGCACAAUAUGAAAUAGAUGGAUACAGAAGGGUAUAUACGAGCUUCAAAAUCAUUAUUGUCACUGUCAUACUGUAGGCUAUAUUAAAGCACUGGUCAAGGUAAAGAUUCAAAGAUAGAUUCAUGAGUAAGUACAAUGUACAAUGUACAUUGUACGUACAAUGAUAUUUAUUUAAACACAUACACACGUCAAAGAUUUACAAACAAUAAGAUCCUCUUACUGCAACCAUUUAAGAUAAGAAAGACGAGAUUAUUAGCUACCUAAACCUCAAUCCACAGUAGAAAUAAGUAUUUCAGGAAAAUAAAGUAACUAACAAACAAAUAGCAAAAAGUCUUUUUAUGACCUUCACCCCUUUAUGAGGUGAAGUCUAAAAUGUACAUCUAUACUUAUUUACAAGCUGUGUGGAAACAGCAUAAGUUUGCCAGAACGACAUGGACUAAAAAGGCAAGAAACAAGGUUUAAAACUAAUAGAAUUUCUGACUUAAGGUGAGGUGGCUCGUUGCUACCAAUCAACCUGGAAAAUGUUACCAUCAAAGCUGUUAAAUUUAACUAAAUAAUUCCAUACACUACUGCAUAGAGCCUUUAUAAAUGAUUUUUUUUUUCCCUA